GUAAGGGUGUGUUUGGUUCCAUGUAAAACUGUGGAAAAAAAAUUUUCUGUGGAAAAAAAAUUUUCAGUGGAAAAAAGUUUUACGUUGUUUCUGUUUGGUUUGUAGGAAAAGAAAAGUAGUUUUCUGUAACAGUUGUUUGGUUGAAAGAAAAAAAAAAGUAGAUGAAAAACUAUAUAAUAUAUUUUUUAUUAUAUAUAUUAUUAGUAUAUUAUAAUUAUUAUAUAUAUUCUCUAAUUAUAUAUAUAUUAUAUAUUAUAUAUUAUCAAUAUAUAAUAAUUAUCAUAAUAUAUUUAAUUAUUAUAAUUUUUAUAUUAUAUAUUAUAUAAUAAAUAUGUAAUAUAAUAUAUAAUAAUAUAUAUUU
rnacentral:lncRNA from 1 species